UGGGUCUUUGUGAGCAAGAUGUCACAAAGUUGCACCAACUGGCCUGCAAAGUCCCAGU
rnacentral:pre_miRNA from 1 species